rnacentral:rRNA from 1 species
CCUACGGGAGGCAGCAGUGAGGAAUAUUGGUCAAUGGCCGGAAGGCUGAACCAGCCAAGCCGCGUGAAGGACGAAGGUGCCAAGCAUUGUAAACUUCUUUUGUCAAGGGACAAAAUCAGGCUCGAGAGCCUGACCGAGGGUACUUGAAGAAAAAGCAUCGGCUAACUCCGUGCCAGCAGCCGCGGUAAUACGGAGGAUGCGAGCGUUAUCCGGAUUUAUUGGGUUUAAAGGGUGCGUAGGCGGGCUGUUAAGUCAGCGGUAAAAGCCCGGGGCGCAACCCCGGCGAGCCGUUGAAACUGGGUGUCUUGAGAUGUCGAGAGGUAUGCGGAAUGCGCAGUGUAGCGGUGAAAGGCUUAGAUAUCGCGCAGAACUCCGAUUGCGAAGGCAGCAUACCGGCGGCGAUCUGACGCUGAGGCACGAAAGCGUGGGUAUCGAACAGGAUUAGAUACCCUUGUAGUC